rnacentral:rRNA from 1 species
AGAGUUUGAUCCUGGCUCAGGACGAACGCUGGCGGCAUGCCUAACACAUGCAAGUCGAACGCGGGGCUUCGGCCCUGAGUGGCGCACGGGUGAGUAACGCGUGGGAACCUGCCCUUUGGUUCGGGAUAACUGCGGGAAACUGCGGCUAAUACCGGAUGUCCCCCAUGGGGGAAAGAUUUAUCGCCGAAGGAGGGGCCCGC